AACCCUAGUGCUCCAGAUCCGCCACCCACCUCACGCGCUCCCUCUCCCCCAUCGCCGCCGCCACCCCGCCGAUCCCAUCCCUCCCGAUUCAGAUCCAUUCUCCCCGAUUCAGAUCCGACCCCGCCGCCCGCGCCCCACCAUUCGCUCCUCCUCGCCUCCUAGAGGACGGCUGCGCUCUUCCUCCGCCCGUCCCGGAGGCCUCGGUCGGCGCCCUCCGCCGCAGGGCCGUCGCGCUUGUCCCGCCCUCGGCGCCGCACCUCCUUUUCCUCAUGGCCUCACACCUCCCCGAUCCGUGUUCCUCGCACGCUCACCGCUUCGCCUCUGUCUCCCACCAUGCCGCACACCCCAUGCCGGAAAAGGGAAGGCGAGCCACCUCCGCCCUCCCCUCGCCCCCGCGCUGGUCCCACCGCCGAGUCCAGUUCCCCUCACUUCUCCGUCCAGGCGCCGUCGCCAUCAAUCGAUCUCCCGAGCAAGUGACCUCCCUCCCCGAUCUACUCGUUGGCUAUGGCGGACGAGCCGGAGGGGCGAGGGGAGGGGGAGCGUGGACGCCAACUGGCGCCCCACCCAAGACUCAGAUCCCGCCACCGCGGCCGCCGGAGGCGGGGUUGACCCGAACGCACCGGCGCCCCACCGCCGGAGGCGACUAGCGCUCCGGGCUCCAUCCCGACGCCCGCGCUAGGAUCGUCAGUAAGAUGUAAGCGGCGACCUCAAUCUUUGAUUUGAUCCUUCAUCCCCUUAAUUUAUUGGAGCACUCCUUCCAGAUACAGUCGCACUCCUCAUCCAGCUCCAUGUCUCCUGGUGCGGCGGCACAGUGGGAGGAUGUGAACGCGCGGCCGCCCAGGGGUGGUGGUGGUGGUGACCUGCCUGCUCAUCCCUCGUCCUCAUCACCGGCCUCUCCGAGGUCGCUGCUGGGGCAAUCUCCAUCGGCCCUUGAGGAUGGAGUAGGAGGAUGAGCAGCAGCAAAUGAGCCUGAUGGUGAAGAAGCACCUGAUGACCAGAACUCGUUCAAGAGCUCUUUUGUCCUUCCAAAACAGGGAUGCUGCGCUCGCUACUUACAUGUUUUCUGAUGCCGCAACAAAGGACUAUAUGUGGUUUCUUCAGUGGGACUGUUGCUGUCGCUCCUCAUGUUCAAUAACAUUUCAGCAUGGGACCUGCUAGUCACCCAAGCCAAGCCUCGCAUCGCUUCAAUAAAGCGAUACUUCUUCCAAUCAACCCCUACUUCGGCUCUGCUCUUUUUUCCAUCUUCUCUUAUUUAAGCUAAGAAAGAUUCUGAGUUUGCAUCCAUCUCAUUACACUAGCUAGCACAAUAUAUUAGUUGAGGCAACUCUACUACAUAUCAAUUUCCCCUACUGGAUUGGUUCUAUAUUUUUAAAGUUGUUUCGUGGUGCAUGAGCCCAACCUGAAGAAAUAUAGGCUUAUGAUGACUAUUUUCCUUCUUAAGUAAUCAUAGUUGUUGGCUUCGGUAGCUUGCUGAAUAUGCUUUAGUUAUAUAUAGAAAUGACAUGCCUUCUAUGCUUAAAUGAUUGUUUGGCUCUAUAUAAUUGUUGACAUGAAUAUCUUGACUUCCCAAACAAGUAUUGGGCUGUACCUAUGCAUACAGAUUAUCCUAACAGAACUAAAAAUAAAAAUUGAAGCAUGAAAUAAGCAAUAAGUGGCUGAUUUUUAUUUGCAUGUUAAGCGGAAAGUUGUAGCCAAGGCUUAUAUAUUACAAAAUAUUGUCACACCUAUGAGCUUCUACUGUUGUUAGGGACAUCGUAGUGUGAUCUUCAUGAUUUUUCGCUUGAAGAUGUACUGAUUCAUUAGUCAAGCAGAGACCGAAGUCAUCUUUUGCUACUGCUAGCUCUAUGGAUGUUUAUUUACGUGCAACUUCUGCCAGCUCUAACUUGGUUAUAUAGUAGUUCAAUUCAGUCAAUCUGUUGGAACUAGUUUGUCUAUUACUUGUAUCCAGAUUUUAUAUCCUGCCCUAUGCCAUUGUCGACUUGCUUAGGUACAUAAUUGUUAUCUCUUGCAAUCUGGUAUUGAUGAUUGUCAAUGUAUUCAUUUAUACCUUUCUAGUGUACCUUGUAUGUGACCCAACUGAUCUGUAUAUCAAUGCUCUGUUUCCAAUAGAUGUAUGCUGAUGCCUGAUGGCUUAUUCCUUAAAACUUCACUGUUGCAGUAGCAUUUUUCCUUAGUGCAUAGAUGUAUGAGCGAUCACUUAUGCUUGAAACCUUGCUCUCUUUCCCAGGAACCAUCGUGGUCUGCGUCACUACUGGGGCAGGAGAGGAAAGCCUGUUGGUGUCUCCAGGAAGCGAUAAACUGCUUCACAAAGAUCCGCGCAUAGCUUCACUACUACUGUGUUGGUCCAUUUCCAGAAUCGUAAGGAGUGUUCUUGUUUAGACGAUUACCUUGGAUGAUGCUUUUGCUUAAGGAGAGGCUCAAGAAGAUCAGGGAGCUCUGUAUCCGAGUUCCAGCCAUCCUCUACAGCAAGGAGCUCUCGGCCAAAGGAGCAAGCAGCGCUGCUAGUUCCUUGAGGCCAGAUCGAGUAAGAUGGCGCACCAUGGCGUGUGGUGGCGUAUUUUGCUUCCGAGAACAGUACUGUUUAUUUGAAGUGAGAUGUACUCGUCUAGUGCCUGGCAAAAAAAUGAAGGAUGAAGUGUCAUGUACUGUCUAUGUUGUAGUGAGCUAUAGUAGGAGUGAAAUGAAAAUGUAUCUGUUGUUGUAUGUGCUAUUUUGCUGUAAUGUAUUGUGUACAUUUUACUUGAACAUUAAAUUCUCCAAAAAAAUGUUCUUACUGGACCUGAUA